UAUUGUUUAGUGACUAUAGUAUUAUCUUAUUCUCGUAAAGGAUUGGGACGAGAUGUGUACGCUCGAAGACGUCAGAAAGUCGGAAUGGUAUUGCAAAGCGAAUAAGGGAUGAAUUGAGUAAGCGAAGCGAUGUGGCGAAUAGAGUAUAGCUAGAGAUGGUCUAGAGAUUAUGAGAUGCAUAGAUUGUGAAAGUGGAAAGAUGAGAAUGAGCUGUGAGACGGGAGUCAGAUUUAAGGCAAGUAUCCUACACCCUUCUUUUGGAUAUAUUGCAAAUAUUCUGAUUCAUUCUUUUGAUGUGUUGCAAGUAUCCUAAACCUUUCUCUUGGAUAUAUUGCAAAUAUUCUGAUCCAUUCCUUUGGUAUAUGUUUCAAGUAUUCAUACCUUUCUUUUCAAUGUUCGAAAGUGCGAGUAUUCUGACCCAUUCUUUCUAAUCUUCAAGUUUCUAAAGAAUUUCCGUUUUACAAAUUAAUUCGAAGUUCAGAUUGUCAUUGAAGCAUGUGUUGCUCAGUGAUAGUUAGAGCUUUGAAUGAAUUGGGAUCUUCUUGAUUAUUCAACCCGCCAUUGUCAUGCUGGUUUAGCAGGCUAAAUUCAGUUGCUUAGCCGAUAAUGGAGGAUACUGAAUAGUUGAGGAUUUCCUGAACUGUGAUUUAUGAAAUGAUGGAUCAUGAUUUAUGAAUAGAUUAUUAUCAAAGUUUGAAUUGGAAUUAUUCUGUUGUUGAUGAUAUUUAUGAUGAUGUUCUGUUAAUUUACAUUGGCUUCUUGAAUUGAAUUAGAGAAUUGGAUUAUUGUUUUUAUAUAAACCUGUGGACCAGAUUCGUGGUCAUGUUAGGCCAAUGAGUGCCUUGGAUCCAGUGAUAGAGCAUGGCGGGGCCUGCUCGGGGUUAGUGCGGAACUGAUCAGCUGCCUAACCUUGGUUUUAAUUAAAAUGUGAUAGUCCAAUUCAAUAAUUCUUUGGAAAGAUUGAAUUUCUCAGUUUAAAUGCUGCAAGGUAUUGUAAAUCAUUCUAUACAAUACCAUGAACUCAUGAACUCAGGUUGAAUCCUCUUAUAUCUUGAACUCGUGAACUUCUGUUAUAUCAUUUCAGAACUAUCAUUGUUUAUUAUUACUUGCUGAGCAUUGUUGCUCACCCUUGCUAUUCCUUUCUAACCAUUUCAGAAAGGCUUAAAGAUGAGAUGAUUGAUUGAGAUUGUGAAUAAGGCUAAUGCUAGGCGAGGAGACAGAGUUGAGAAUCCAGUGGUCGAGGAGUGUUCAGGAAAGUUGAUGAGGUUGGUGCAAGCUAGAGCUGUGCU
rnacentral:lncRNA from 1 species